CGGGUGAGUAACGCGUGAGGAACCUGCCUCAAAGAGGGGGACAACAGUUGGAAACGACUGCUAAUACCGCAUAAGCCCACGGCUCGGCAUCGAGCAGAGGGAAAAGGAGCAAUCCGCUUUGAGAUGGCCUCGCGUCCGAUUAGCUGGUUGGUGAGGUAACGGCCCACCAAGGCGACGAUCGGUAGCCGGACUGAGAGGUUGAACGGCCACAUCGGGACUGAGACACGGCCCAG
rnacentral:rRNA from 1 species